rnacentral:tRNA from 1 species
UGGGGAGUAGCCAAGCGGUAAGGCAACGGACUUUGACUCCGUGACGCGUAGGUUCGAAUCCUGCCUCCCCAGCCA